UUCUCUUCGGCUUCCUUGUGGAUCAUUGCGGCCUUAUUCUUCAUCUUCUCGGCGUAUUCAGCCUUCUUCUUUUCCAAUUGCUCCUGAAAGUGUACAGUCACAAGAUUUAGUUUGCAGGAUGGCAUAUGAAGAGAGUGCCAUGUUCAGAACUGCAGAUGGAUAUCGACGGCAAGAACAGGCCUUACUCUUUGAUGUAAUAUACGGCCUUACUCUUUGAUGUAAUAUACAAAGAAUGGUAACGAUGAAAGUACCUCGAUCUUCUUCAGUUGAGCUUCUAUGUUUGCUUUUUUGGUGUUCUCCCAUGAGAGAAUAGCAGAUACCUUUUUAGUAGCCCUGUGAUAUUGAUGUGAAUCAAGAUCAGGAAAAUUUACA
rnacentral:lncRNA from 1 species